AGUGAACGCUGGCGGCAGGCCUAAUACAUGCAAGUCGAACGGCAGCACAGUGGAGCUUGCUCCAUGGGUGGCGAGUGGCGGACGGGUGAGGAAUACAUGGGAAUCUGCCCAGUCGUGGGGAUAACGUAUGGAAACGUACGCUAAUACCGCAUGCGCCCUUCGGGGGAAAGUCGGGGACCGCAAGGCCUGACGCGAUUGGAUGAGCCCAUGUUCGAUUAGCUAGUUGGCGGGUAACGGCCCACCAAGGCGACGAUCGAUAGCUGGUCUGAGAGGAUGAUCAGCCACACUGGAACUGAGACACGGUCCAGACUCCUACGGGAGGCAGCAGUAGGGAAUAUUGGACAAUGGGCGCAAGCCUGAUCCAGCCAUGCCGCGUGAGUGAAG
rnacentral:rRNA from 1 species